UACGUAGGGGGCGAGCGUUGUCCGAAUUUACUGGGCGUAAAGCGCGCGUAGGCGGUUCUUUAAGUCUGGGGUGAAAGGUUCAGCGCUCAACGCGAACAGUGCCCUGGAGACUGGGGGACUUGAGUGUGGCAGGGGGUGGCGGAAUUCCUGGUGUAGCGGUGAAAUGCGUAGAUAUCAGGAGGAACACCGGUGGCGAAGGCGGCCACCUGGGCUAACACUGACGCUCAGGCACGAAAGCGUGGGGAGCGAACAGG
rnacentral:rRNA from 1 species